UUCAGCGGCGGACGGGUGAGUAAUGCCUAGGAAUCUGCCUGGUAGUGGGGGACAACGUUUCGAAAGGAACGCUAAUACCGCAUACGUCCUACGGGAGAAAGCAGGGGACCUUCGGGCCUUGCGCUAUCAGAUGAGCCUAGGUCGGAUUAGCUAGUUGGUGAGGUAAUGGCUCACCAAGGCGACGAUCCGUAACUGGUCUGAGAGGAUGAUCAGUCACACUGGAACUGAGACACGGUCCAGACUCCUACGGGAGGCAGCAGUGGGGAAUAUUGGACAAUGGGCGAAAGCCUGAUCCAGCCAUGCCGCGUGUGUGAAGAAGGUCUUCGGAUUGUAAAGCACUUUAAGUUGGGAGGAAGGGUUGUAGAUUAAUACUCUGCAAUUUUGACGUUACCGACAGAAUAAGCACCGGCUAACUCUGUGCCAGCAGCCGCGGUAAUACAGAGGGUGCAAGCGUUAAUCGGAAUUACUGGGCGUAAAGCGCGCGUAGGUGGUUUGUUAAGUUGGAUGUGAAAUCCCCGGGCUCAACCUGGGAACUGCAUCCAAAACUGGCAAGCUAGAGUAUGGUAGAGGGUGGUGGAAUUUCCUGUGUAGCGGUGAAAUGCGUAGAUAUAGGAAGGAACACCAGUGGCGAAGGCGACCACCUGGACUGAUACUGACACUGAGGUGCG
rnacentral:rRNA from 1 species